AGCCCUGAGGUGUUCUACAUGUUAGAUUGCAAAUCUAAAGUAGUAGGAUAAUGAUCCUACCUGGGCUU
rnacentral:tRNA from 1 species